GAUGAACGCUGGCGGCGUGCCUAAUACAUGCAAGUCGAGCGAAUGGAUUAAGAGCUUGCUCUUAUGAAGUUAGCGGCGGACGGGUGAGUAACACGUGGGUAACCUGCCCAUAAGACUGGGAUAACUCCGGGAAACCGGGGCUAAUACCGGAUAACAUUUUGACCCGCAUGGUUCGAAAUUGAAAGGCGGCUUCGGCUGUCACUUAUGGAUGGACCCGCGUCGCAUUAGCUAGGUGGUGAGGUAACGGCUCACCAAGGCAACGAUGCGUAGCCGCCCUGGGAGGGUGAGCGGCCACACUGGGACUGAGCCACGGCCCAAACUCCGACGGGAGGCAGCAGUAGGGAAUCUUCCGCAAUGGACGAAAGUCUGACAGAGCAACGCCGCGUGAGUGAUGAAGGCUUUCGGGUCGUAAAACUCUGUUGUCGAUGAAGAAUAAGUGCGGGAGGGAAUGCCCGUAUGAUGACGUUAGUCGGCGAAUAAGCCCCUGCUAAUUACGUGCCAGCCGCCGCAGUAA
rnacentral:rRNA from 1 species